UACAUUUAUACUUCUUGGAAGAAAGAGAGCACUCAUAUAUAUGGUCACAAUGAGAAACAUAUAUCAAUACUUUAUAUUUAUAAAAUAGAAAAAAAUCAGGAUGUACAUAUUUAUUUAUACCUGGUGUCAUGCAAAAGACUUUGACAAUAUCCGAUGACUUAUGAGUAAGUCUUGGGAAUUGUUCUGUUGAUUUCUUUUUUAAAAAAUAAAUUUUAUUGUAUAUAUUUAAAGUAAACAACAUGAUCUAAGAUAAAUACACAUAUACACACACAUAUACAUAUAUGUUAAAAUGGUUACUACAGUGGGACAAAUUCAUCAUCUUACAUAGUUACUCAUUUUUUUUUUUUUUUGCCCUGUGGCAUGCGCAGUUAUAGUCCAUUCA
rnacentral:lncRNA from 1 species